UAGAGUUUGAUCCUGGCUCAGGACGAACGCUGGCGGCGUGCCUAAUACAUGCAAGUAGAACGCUGAAGGAGGAGCUUGCUCUUUCCGGAUGAGUUGCGAACGGGUGAGUAACGCGUAGGUAACCUGCCUGGUAGCGGGGGAUAACUAUUGGAAACGAUAGCUAAUACCGCAUAAUAGUAGAUGUUGCAUGACAUUUGCUUAAAAGGUGCAAUUGCAUCACUACCAGAUGGACCUGCGUUGUAUUAGCUAGUUGGUGGGGUAACGGCUCACCAAGGCGACGAUACAUAGCCGACCUGAGAGGGUGAUCGGCCACACUGGGACUGAGACACGGCCCAGACUCCUACGGGAGGCAGCAGUAGGGAAUCUUCGGCAAUGGACGGAAGUCUGACCGAGCAACGCCGCGUGAGUGAAGAAGGUUUUCGGAUCGUAAAGCUCUGUUGUAAGAGAAGAACGAGUGUGAGAGUGGAAAGUUCACACUGUGACGGUAUCUUACCAGAAAGGGACGGCUAACUACGUGCCAGCAGCCGCGGUAAUAU
rnacentral:rRNA from 1 species